GGUUCCAGGCUUUGGAGGCACUUUGUGGGGUCUGGGAGAUGGUGGGAGCUCUGGUUUGGAUGGACUGUGGGGUCUGGAAAAUAAUGGGAUCUCUGAGUCUGGAUGGACUGUGGGGUCUGGAAAAUAAUGGGAUCUCUGAGUCUGGAUGGACUGUGGGGUUUGGAAAAUAAUGGGAGCUCUGAGUCUGGAUGGACUGUGGGAUUUGACACCCUUAAAAACACCAACCACAGAAUUUCCCGUUGGAAGCCCUGGAUUUUGAGGGUGGAUGGCUGGCUGGAGGACCAGCUCAGGUAUGGCAAGACCCCGCUGCAGAUUUUUGAGCAGGAGGUUGUUGUCUCAUUACUCAGGACGUGUGGAAUCCAAACCUGGAUGUGUCUCCUCCCGCUGAUGUCUUGGGAAAGUCACAGAACUGAUGGAUGGUCUAAGAAUCUAACUUUGGAAGGGUCUGGCUUUUCCCAAGAUCACUGAGAGCCCUGACAGAAGUGGAUUCAUUCUCCUCUGGCAUUUCUCAUCCAUGUGUGACCUGAGUGGCUCCUUUUCCCUCAAUUUCUUGUUGGAGCAACACCCCAGCACUUCGGGGAUGCUCCAGGCUGGAGCCUCAGCAGGCUCUGCAGGAGAUCCCACAGGUCAGGGACCUGGUCCUGCUGUGUUUUAUGAUGCACAACCUCACUGUCCUGAGCCUGGAAUAUUCCUGGAUUAUGG